rnacentral:rRNA from 1 species
CCCUUAGAUGUUCUGGGCCGCACGCGCGCUACACUGACGAAGUCAGCGAGCAUGUCCUACGCCGACAGGUGCGGGGAAUCUUGUCAAACUUCGUAGUGAUGGGGAUUGAUUAUUGAAAUUCUUGAUCAUCAACGAGGAAUUCCUAGUAAGCGCAAGUCAGCAGCUUGCGUUGAUUACGUCCCUGCCCUUUGUACACACCGCCCGUCGCUACUACCGAUUGAAUGGUUUAGUGAGAUCUUCGGAUUGGCGCCACUGCGGCUCAGCAAUGGGCUCGGUGGAUGCCGAAAAGUUGAUCAAACUUGAUCAUUUAGAGGAAGUAAAAGUCGUAACA